rnacentral:rRNA from 1 species
UACGUAGGUGGCAAGCGUUGUCCGGAUUUAUUGGGUUUAAAGGGUGCGUAGGUGGUCUAUUAAGUCAGUGCUGAAAUAUCCCGGCUUAACCGGGAGGGUGGCAUUGAUACUGAUGGACUUGAGUAAAGUUGAGGUUGGCGGAAUUGACGGUGUAGCGGUGAAAUGCUUAGAUAUCGUCAAGAACACCUAUUGCGAAGGCAGCUAACUAAGCUUAAACUGACGCUGAGGCACGAAAGUGUGGGGAUCAAACAGG